rnacentral:pre_miRNA from 1 species
UUUACAACAAAAGAUAUACACCCUCCGGUCAUUAUUAUAAGCAAAAAACAACAUUUUAAAUUCAUUGAAUAAAUGAUGUAUUUAGUCAUUAUUAUAGACUAGAUACAUCAUUUAUUGAAUGAAUUUAAAAACUUAUUUUUUUGCUUAUAAUAGUGACCGGAUGACGUAUAUUAAAUAUGUAAA